AGUUGCUCAUUCACCUUUUUAUGAUGGCCCCGUAUUUAGACGGAUCAGUCGCCUCAUAAGCCUCCGAAUGAUGCCAAAGAAAUGGUGCCUAUCGUCCAACCAAACCGAUAACGGCUCGCGCAAGCGGCUUUAUCAAGCAUCGGGCGACACGUGGAGUGAGGCACCGCCUG
rnacentral:sRNA from 1 species